rnacentral:rRNA from 1 species
GAUGAACGCUAGCGGCAGGCCUAAUACAUGCAAGCCGAACGGCAAGUUUGAUAGCAAUAUUGGACCUAGAGUGGCGCAAGGGUGCGUAACACGUAUGCAACCUGCCCGCGACAGGAGGAUAGCUCCCCGAAAGGGGAAUUAACCCUCCAUAACACCAUGAGAAGGCAUCUGAUUAUGGUUAAACCGCACGGGGUCGCGGAUGGGCAUGCGGUUGAUUAGCUAGUUGGCGGGGUAAAGGCCCACCAAGGCGGUGAUCAAUAGGGGUUCUGAGAGGAAGGUCCCCGACACUGGAACUGAGAUACGGGCCAGACUCCUAGGGAAGGCAGCAGUAGGGAAUAUUGGACAAUGGUUGGAAGACUGAGCCAGGCAUGCCGCGUGGAGGAAGACGGGCUUCUGGGUCGUAAACUGCUUUUGCAUGGGGAUAAAAUACCCGUGCGCGGGGAAUUGAAGGUAACAGGGGAAUAAGCCACGGCUAACUACGUG